UGCUUCCAUCCUAGUAUUUUUGUCAGCRAUCUUUGCUGAAGAAAGUCUCCAGCCUUGGAGUCUCCAGCCUCCAGCCGUCAAUUCAUCAUGGGAACCACUCGAUAUGAUUGGUUAUAACUAUAACUAUUAAAAGUUAUUUARGGUGUACGAUGCUAUCCUAAUCGAAAUAAAAUUAAGUGGCAUGGAAAAAAUUGGAGAUGGUGAGCAAUAGGCUACAAAGUUAUUUUCCCCUCGCCCAUCAAAAUUAACAUCACUUACUUUCACAAGUUGUAACUAGCGCCAUGCCGCUGUUGUUGCCAGCUAGCCAGCAUAAACUAACUUSGAAGGGCUUAUAAGGACUGACUGAACCUGAACCCAAUCCAUUCGUCUCCACACGCGACUCUCAGCUGCGCUUCUUAAGUCGUCCAUUUGGGCACUAGGUGUGUCCGUGUAGCCUCGCCAUGUUUUCAUGGCAACAAUUUCCCUAUCCACAGGUUGUGUCAACGGGCUAUUUCUGGUGAUUUCGCUUGUAAACAAUCCCAGAACACUGUUUAAUGCCAUUGUGGAAGUAAACCCCGGCAACGUGAGAAGAGAGAAUCAAGGAGGACAUCUAGUGGACGAAACGGAGAAGAGCGCGCGKGCCCUGCUGUAGAGUGGAGAUGUAUGGGAUGCUAGAUUUGAUCCACCUAAUGGCCCGAGACAGUCAGGUCCAACAGGUCAGUUCAACCCGGGACACACCCAGGUGGUAGCACAGAACCGACAUGGUGAGAGACUGAACCCACAGAGACUAGGGCACCGUGUGCCCAAGCUCUGACAAAUUGGUCGUUCUAAGAAAGUGGACCCAGGGGACGAGGYCGUGGAUGAUGACAUGAAUAAUAACAGACAAUGUCCCGUGUCCCUCAUCCUCUCACCCAUCUCCUAAACACCACAUGUGACCAUGAAGUUCUUCGAAGCCAAACUCAACUGAAUCAAUUUGGCCUUAAUCCAUCAAUAUUACAAGUGACCUCCAUAUUAGAUGGAAACUCUCAUCGUGGCACAAAUAGGACAAUUCUAUUGCCGGAAUUCUAGGAUUCUAUAGACCUUUGCAUCUAAAGCUUGUAUAUUGUGCUUUAUUUAGCUGUUCUUAUACUGUGAAUGAAUUGUACUGAAACCUGUUCUGCUCCUAGUCCACUACGGCAGUAAUAUCUGCACUUGGAAAAGUACAGUGUGGUUUGUCUCUAAAGCUUCUGAAGGGCAACAUUUGAAAAAAGUUGCACUCUUUAAAUUAUAAGAUCAAAUGGAAAUCAUCCUUGGAAGGAAGGAAGCCUGUUAAUGUGUAACGUGCAGAUGGAACAUUAGGUUACUAAUUGUUGUGACUUAACCUAAAUCUGUGCUUCACCUUGUGGAGUGUCAGGUUACUYUUGAAUAAUCACUAUUUUGGAAUGCAGGGACAGUUGGAAAAGAUGGUUACUGAUGAUAAUUCAUAUUUACAACAAAAUACAGUUUUGGUUUAUACAAUUUUUAGCACAUAUUUUCAAAGAAUUUAUAUAAUAUAUGGGUUAUGUUGUUUUUCGUAUUAUGGCGUAAUGGUACACUUUGUGGGAAUGACUGUUAAAUUGUAUGUGAUGAAACUUUACAUAUUUCUAUGCACAGAUUCUAUUGAAGCAUCAAAACAUGUCAGGACAAAUUUACUGUCCAGAAGGGCUACUUUCUUCUUUGGUGUUUAAAUAUUAUUACAAUAAUGACUUAGUCCCAAAUGGCACCCUAUUCCUUGCAUGGGACCUAUGGGCCCUGGUCAAAAGUAGUGCACUAUAUAGGUAAAUGGUGCUGUUUGGGACACACAUACUGUUUCAAUGUCAUAUGGACAAUAUUGACCUAACCAAAGCCUGUAACUUUCUUGUAUACUUUGGUCACGUCUUUCAGUGAAACAUUGCAUUUCAUAUCAUGGCUCAUUGUGAUGCAUUCACUAUCACAUGACUUAAAUGGAUGGAAUUGUUAUGUGCAUUGGGAACAUUUGCAUGAAAAUGGGAGGAGUUUUGCAUAAUAAUGUKUUAUUUGAAAUAAAAGAGGAGGUUUUCUUUUUUAAUGUAA